rnacentral:misc_RNA from 1 species
AUGAUGAAGAGCCUUGUUCUCUUUGUGUCAAUAGCACUCUGUGUUCCCUUAGCUUUGUCAUCAACAUUUUCUUCAGAUCUUCUCCUUCCUUCUGAUGAAGUAGUUCCUAAUGGUAAAACAUAUGCUUCAGUAGUUGACAGUGAUGGAAAUCCAGUAAAAGCAGGUGCAAAAUACUUUGUGUUACCAUCUUUAAGGGGUAGUGGAGGUGGUCUUGUUUUGUCUAGAGUUGUUGACAAAAAUGUUAAAGUUUGUCCACAAGACAUUGUCCAAGAACCUCAGGAACUUAACACUGGACGUCCUGUGGAGUUCUUUCCAGCAUACCCUAAUAAAACUGGUGAAAUUAUUAAAGUUAACAACCCCAUAAAUGUUAACUUCUUUUCACUUAGUAAGACAUCACGUUGUGCUAAUUUUACUGUAUGGAAAAUGGACAAGAAAUAUAAAUAUGUGGUAGGUAGAGGGACUCUAGGGGCGCUGAAUCGCAUAAGGAAUUGGUUCAGGAUUGUGCCAUAUGGAAAGGGCUAUAGGUUUGUAUAUUGUCCUUCACUCUGUGUUCCUUGCAAAAUUAGGUGCUUUGACUUAUUCAUUUCUUAUGAGGAACGCGAAAAUGUUCAAGUUAGACGCUUGGCUGCCUCGGACAAUGAAUUGCCAUUUUCUGUUUACUUCAAGAAGGCUGAUUAAUCAUCCUCCCUAUUAUUAAUAUUAUUAUUAUUAU